AUUGAACGCUGGCGGCAGGCCUAACACAUGCAAGUCGAACGAGUGGCGGACGGGUGAGUAAUGUCUGGGAAACUGCCCGAUGGAGGGGGAUAACUACUGGAAACGGUAGCUAAUACCGCAUACCAUCAGAUGUGCCCAGAUGGGUUUAGCUUGUUGGUGGGGUACCGGCUCACCAAGGAGACGAUCCCUAGCUGGUCUGAGAGGAUGACCAGCAACACUGGAACAGAUACACGGGCAGGACGACUACGGGAGGCAGCAUGGGGGAAUAUUGAAAAAUGGGCGAAAUCCUGAUACAGCCAUGCCGCGUUUAUGAAGAAGGCCUUCGGGUUGUAAAGUACUGUCAGCGGGGAGGCGUUACCCGCAGAAGAAGCACCGGCUAACUCCGUGCCAGCAGCCGCGGUAAUAC
rnacentral:rRNA from 1 species